CCUAAGGUAGCGAAAUUCCUUGUCAGGUAAGUUCUGACCCGCACGAAAGGUGUAAUGAUUUGGGCACUGUCUCGGCAGCAGACUCGGUGAAAUCUUAGUACCUGUGAAGAUGCAGGUUACCCGCAACUAGACGGAAAGACCCCAUGGAGCUUUACUGUAGUCUGCUAUUGAGUUUCGGUUAAAUAUGCACAGUAUAGGUGGGAGACGAAGAGAUCGGGAUUUAGGUUUCGAAGGAGUCACCGUUGGGAUACCACUCUUAUUUAAUUGAAAUUCUAACUCUAGACCAUUACCUGGAUAGAGGACCGUGGCAGAUGGGCAGUUUGACUGGGGCGGUCGCCUCCCAAAGAGUAACGGAGGCGCUCAAAGGUACUCUCAGAAUGGUUGGAAAUCAUUCGGCGAGCGUAAAUGCAGAAGAGUGCUUGACUGCAAGACAUACAAGUCGAGCAGGGACGAAAGUCGGAAUUAGUGAUCCGGCGGUGCAGAAUGGAAUGGCCGUCGCUUAACGGAUAAAAGCUACCCUGGGGAUAACAGGCUGAUCUCGCCCAAGAGUUCACAUCGACGGCGAGGUUUGGCACCUCGAUGUCGGCUCAUCGCAUCCUGGAGCUGGAUUCGGUUCCAAGGGUUGGGCUGUCCGCCCAUUAAAGCGGUACGCGAGCUGGGUUCAGAACGUCGUGAGACAGUUCGGUCCCUAUCUGUUGUGGGCGUUGGAAAUUUGAGGAGAGCUGCCCCUAGUACGAGAGGACCAGGGUGGACAUACCUACGGUGCACCAGUUGUCACGCCAGUGGCACAGCUGGGUAGCUGAGUAUGGACCGGAUAAACGCUGAAGGCAUCUAAGCGUGAAACCGACUCCAAGAUUAGAUUUCCCAUUAAGAAAUUAAGUAAGACCCCUUGAAGACGACGAGGUAGAUAGGUCAGAGAUGUAAGUGCUGUGAGGCAUUGAGUUGACUGAUACUAAUAGGUCGAGGGUUUAAUCAC
rnacentral:rRNA from 1 species